rnacentral:rRNA from 1 species
AGAGUUUGAUCCUGGCUCAGGAUGAACGCUGGCGGCGUGCCUAACACAUGGCAAGUCGAACGGAGUACUUUUGAUGGAGAUUCGUCAAAGUCAGCUGUAACUUAGUGGCGGACGGGUGAGUAACGCGUGGGUAACCUGCCUCGUAGAGGGGGAUAACAGUUGGAAACGACUGCUAAUACCGCAUAAGCCCACAGGACCGCAUGGUCCAGGGGGAAAAGAUUCAUCGCUACGAGAUGGACCCGCGUUUGAUUAGUUAGUUGGCGGUGUAACGGACCACCAAGACGACGAUCAAUAGCCGGACUGAGAGGUUGAACGGCCACAUUGGGACUGAGACACGGCCCAAACUCCUACGGGAGGCAGCAGUGGGGAAUAUUGCACAAUGGGGGAAACCCUGAUGCAGCGACGCCGCGUGGGUGAAGAAGUUUUCGGAAUGUAAAGCCCUAUCAGCAGGGAAGAAAAUGACGGUACCUGACUAAGAAGCCCGGCUAACUACGUGCC